GUAGGUGGCAAGCGUUGUCCGGGAAUUAUUGGGGCGUAGAGCGCGCGCAGGUGGUUCUUUAAGUCUGAUGUGAAAGCCCCCCCGGGCUCAACCAGGGGAGGGUCAUUGGAAACUGGGGAACUUGAGUGCAGGAGAGGAAAGUGGAAUUCCACGUGUAGCGGUGAAAUGCGUAGAUAUGUGGAGGAACACCAGUGGCGAAGGCGACUUUCUGGCCUGUAACUGACACUGAGGCGCGAAAGCGUGGGGAGCAAACAGGAUUAGAUACCCUGGUAGUCCACGCCGUAAACGAUGAGUGCUAAGUGUUGGGGGGUUCCCGCCCCUCAGUGCUGCAGCUAACGCAUUAAGCACUCCGCCUGGGGAGUACGGUCGCAAAGACUGA
rnacentral:rRNA from 1 species